CCUACGGGAGGCUGCAGUGAGGAAUAUUGGUCAAUGGGCGAGAGCCUGAACCAGCCAAGUCGCGUGAAGGAUGACGGCCCUACGGGUUGUAAACUUCUUUUGUCAGGGAGCAAUUGGGUCCACGCGUGGGCUUAGCGAGAGUACCUGAAGAAAAAGCAUCGGCUAACUACGUGCCAGCAGCCGCGGUAAUACGUAGGUGGCAAGCGUUGUCCGGAUUUACUGGGUGUAAAGGGCGUGCAGCCGGGCCGACAAGUCAGAUGUGAAAUCCGCGGGCUUAACCCGCGAACUGCAUUUGAAACUAUUGGUCUUGAGUACCGGAGAGGUCAUCGGAAUUCCUUGUGUAGCGGUGAAAUGCGUAGAUAUAAGGAAGAACACCAGUGGCGAAGGCGGAUGACUGGACGGCAACUGACGGUGAGGCGCGAAAGCGUGGGGAGCAAACAGGAUUAGAUACCCCUGUAGUC
rnacentral:rRNA from 1 species